CCUCGGUCGUGGGAAUAGCAGACAUAAUAGCUUUUCAAUUGUUGUGCGGAGCCGGGUGCCGCUUGGGGCUUGAUGGGUUAUCGCUGGAGUACGGUG